GUGCUUGCUUCAGCAGAACAUAUACUAAAGUUUGAAUGAUACAGAGAUUAGCAUGGCCCCUGUGCAAGGGUGACAUGCAAUUUCAUGAAGCGUUCCAUAUUUAA
ensembl:snRNA U6 U6 spliceosomal RNA